AUUUCGAAUACCUAUAUAAGCGCAGUAAGUAAUUUAGAAUUAUUUAUAAGUGUUGUACAUUACCAGCCACGAUGAGAUAUUUAUUAUUGACUACUGUAGUGUUGGCGUGUCUAAUGUUCGUCUUGGCUGACGACACCACCGAUCAAUGUAUCCAGAAUUGUCCAGAUGAUGCUACUGUAGUAUGUGGACAAGUCGCGGGAGAACCAGUUAGACCCUUCCUCAAUAAGUGCUUUAUGAAAUGCAGCAAUGCCACUUUUGUCGCCGACUACGAUGAGGACAAACCAAACUGCGAUAUUCCAGAUACUGUGACUGAUAAUCCACCAGAUUAUAACGAAGAAACAACUGUGGCGUAACCUGUAGUAAAGAGUUGUAGCGGGAUAUAAAUGAAUAAAAAUAUUCUGUUAAAAAUAUUA